rnacentral:rRNA from 1 species
UGGGGAAUAUUGCACAAUGGGCGCAAGCCUGAUGCAGCGACGCCGCGUGGGGGAUGACGGCCUUCGGGUUGUAAACCCCUUUCGCUAGGGACGAAGCUUUUUGUGACGGUACCUAGAUAAGAAGCACCGGCCAACUACGUGCCAGCAGCCGCGGUAAUACGUAGGGUGUGAGCGGUGUCCGGAAUUACUGGGCGUAAAGGGCUCGUAGGUGGGUUGUUGCGUCGUCUGUUAAAUUCCGGGGCUUAACUCCGGGCGUGCAGGCGAUACGGGCAUAGCUUGAGUACUGUAGAGGUAACUGGAAUUCCUGGUGUAGCGGUGAAAUGCGCAGAUAUCAGGAGGAACACCGAUGGCGAAGGCAGGUUACUGGGCAGUUACUGACGCUGAGGAGCGAAAGCAUGGGUAGCGAACAGG